CUCCUACAGGGCAAACCUCUAAUUAAACAAAUUGUCAAUUUCAACACAAUGAAAACUGAUUUAGGAGUGUAAAUUUAGUAUUCUAGUCACCGAAAAUAAAACCUCACAUCGUCAGCCUCGUACAGGCUGAUUUCCUCGGAUAGGGACGCAGAGGACAGGAAGACAACGUGAGAAAGGGGCCAAGCCCAGAAGGAAGAACGAGCAAGCGCAUUUCAUCCUUUCCUAAAUAACAUCUCCGCAAAGUCAGUGUGGCCUGUUCUCAGCAGCGAGAAGCUCUCGUCUUGCCUCCUCCUUCACCCCACCCCUACCAGAUUAGGAAAAAAAAAAAAAAAAAAAAUUAAUCGUGUAUGAUGACAAACUUGGCUCAGCACUCACUGUACACACUGUACCCACAAGGCUGGCUCCCCGCCAGGCCUGGCCCUAAGCCAGAACUACAAUAACAAACACAGGCCAUGCUAGCCAAGAGGGGGUUGGGGGCAGCCAGCUCGCGAGCAAGGAAGUGUGAGAGGAGCACCGUUCAGCUCCGCCUAGCAGAAGAAAACAGCAGGAAUGUACCUGCCCAGGGCAGCAACAACAUUUAGGGGAAGCCAGGAGCACCGUGACCCGCACCCAGAUCCCAGGCUCACGCCUCCAGGGCCUGCCCCUUUAAAAAAAAAAAAAAAAAAAAGUCUCCACAGUUCUGGGGCUAAAUGGCCUGCUGUUUUAGGCUCUAUAGGGCCGCUCCAACCCUUGACGAGUCUGCAAAGUGGGUCGUCAGCACUGCACACCCUCAGGAGCCCCUCUUGCUGGAGGUUCCUAGGAGGGAGCCUUCAAAACCCAGCAGCAAGAAAAUCUCCUGUCAUCUAACCGAGGUCGCCUCUAAAACAUCCCAGGGUUCUGUUAUCAUGCAACUGGCAGAGGAAUCAGAAUGUGCAGAAUCCUGCUUCUGCCACUGGCCCCCAAGAGAAGGCCUGGCACGCCCAGCCCAGCCCUCCAACACCGACCCCCCGAGAUCCCCCUCCCCCGGGUAGGCCGUCCCAGCUUCUCAGGGGGUGCAAACAGCUCAGGAAGCGGUCUAGCCUCUCUAAGCCCUUGUUGCUAUUUUCUUUUCAAGACAUCCCAGCACAGGGUGAGAGGUAUGCAGGACGGCAGAAAGCAGCCACAGAGAAUAGAAGUAUCAGAGUCUCAGAAGGCUGCGAGCCAUCUGCAAAGGCGAAUUCAAGCAUGAUUAUGACCCUCACACCUCCCCCGUCACCAAAUCUCUUUAUCAAGGGUGUUGGCAAGUGCACCGCAGAGAGCCAAGUCACCCGGCACGAUCAGAUAUCAGUGCCGAGUAAGAGAGGUACGGAGAGGAGAGCCUGGGGAGACAGGACCCAGCUCUCAAAGCUGCUGGGGGCAUUGGGCUGAGACCAUAGGACCACGCAGUGGUAUCUCAGCCAGGAUGGGAGUGCAGGUCCUCAGGUGGCCACUGGCCGUAGAGGGGUGGUGCAAAGCCACUCAUCUUGCCUGAACUGGGGGCUCUGGGCCCCCCUGCACGUGGGAGGGACCCAGCAGGAGACUAGAGCUCCCCGACAUGCUCCCCCAACUGCUCUCAUUCAUCUGACCAGUUACCUAGCAACUCCAGCAAUGGGCCAGGCAAUGUGCCGCUCAUAACGGGGACAGACCCUGUCCCCACUUGCUUACAGUCUAUCAGAGGAGCUAGGGAGAGGGAAAUUCUAUUUCCAGAGAGCUGAUCGGGCAUUAGGCCCAGGGCUAAGGGUCCAAUGUGAGCCUCACAACGUCUCUGAGAGAGUUAAGAGCUCCCAUCUUACAGAUGAGGAUACAAAAAAGCUUUCAUUUCUCGCCCAAGAGCACAUGGUGAAGGAGGACGCUGGAGGGACCCGCCUUCCAGUAUCAGCAGCCCCCACCAGGAUAAGUAUCCUCAACCACACCCUUGGACUCUCCAUCUCUUCUCCCUGAUGGUUCCAGAUCAAAUCUCUCGAUCCAGACCCCGAUGAACACUUUCUGGAUAGUCCCACUGCCUUCUCUCUGGAUGUGAAUGGA